CCUCGCGCGCUUGCGCACUGAAGUGUGCGCGGGGAGCAGGGGAGCAGCCCACUCUGGGAGCAACCCACUCCUCACCCCACAAACUCGAGUCUUCAUGCUUUGGGCUAGACGAAGCCCACGACGUUGACAUGCCGGAGAUCCGCUUCCGCCAUGUGGUGUCCUGCAAUAGCCAGGACUCGACACACUGUGCAGAAAACCUUCUCAAGGCGGACACUUACAGAAAAUGGCGGGCAGCCAAGGCAGGCGAGAAGACCAUCUCUGUGGUGCUCCAGCUGGAGAAGGAGGAGCAGAUACACAGUGUGCACAUCGGGAAUGACGGCUCGGCGUUCGUGGAGGUGCUGGUGGGCAGCUCAGCCGGAGGGACAGGGGAGCAAGACUACGAGGUCCUGUUGGUCACGUCGUCUUUCAUGUCCCCUUCUGAGAGCCGCAGUGGCUCAAACCCCAACCGCGUUCGCAUGUUUGGGCCAGACAAGUUGGUCCGGGCAGCAGCUGAGAAGCGCUGGGAUCGCGUCAAAAUCGUUUGCAGCCAGCCCUACAGCAAGGACGCCCCCUAUGGCCUGAGUUUUGUACGCUUUCACAGCCCCCCAGACAAAGAGGGGGCAGAGGCCUCACCCCAGAAGGUGACCAAGCUUGGCCAGUUCCGCGUGAAGGAGGAGGAUGAGGGUGCCAGCUCCCUGAGACCGGGGGCCCUCUUCUUCAGCCGGAUUAACAAGACACCCCUUGCCACAGCCAGUGACCCGGCAGGACCCAGCUAUGCAGCUGCUACACUGCAGGCCUCUAGUGCUGCCUCCUCAGCUGCGCCGGCCUCCAGGGCAUUAGGCAGCAUCUCCAAGCCUCUGGAGCCCCCCAAAGGGAAGAGGAAGUUGGAUUUGAACCAGGAAGAAAGGAAGACCCCCAACAAACCGUCAGCCCAGCCCUCACCACCCGCCCUCAAGAGACCCAAACUGCCAGUUCCCACCCGCACCCCAGCCACUGCCCCAGUUCCAGCCCCAGCACGGGGGGCAGUGCCGGGGAAGCCCCGAGGAGAAGGCACGGAGCCCAGGGGAUCCCGAGCUGGCCCGCAGGAGCUGGGGAAGAUCCUUCAGGGUGUGGUGGUGGUGCUGAGUGGCUUCCAGAACCCCUUCCGAUCAGAGCUGCGGGACAAGGCCCUGGAGCUGGGGGCCAAGUAUCGGCCGGAUUGGACUGCAGACAGCACUCACCUCAUCUGUGCCUUUGCCAACACCCCCAAGUACAGCCAGGUCCUAGGCCUCGGAGGCCGCAUCGUGUGCAAGGAAUGGGUGCUGGACUGUCACCGCAUGCGUCGGCGGCUGCCCUCCCAGCGGUACCUCAUGGCAGGGCCAGGCUCCGGCAGCGAGGAUGAGGGGGGCUCCCACAAUGGCAGCAGCGGGGAUGAAGCCCCCAAGCUUCCCCGAAAGCGCCCCCAGACCAAAACCAAGCCCCCUCAGGCAAUAGGACCCAGCUCACCCCAGAGACCCCCAAGCCCUGAAGAGACCAAACCAGCUUCACCAGGGCCCCAGGAAGAUACCGACACUGAGGGGGAGCAGUCAGAAGGACGGGACAAUGGGACGGAAGAUUCUGGAGACACGGAAGACGAGCUGAGAAGGGUGGCCGAGCAGAGGGAACAAAGGCAGCCCCCAGGCCAGGGGGAGAAUGGCAGCGACCCGUAUGCGGGGUCUACAGAUGAGAACACAGACAGUGAGGGGCCCCCGGAGUCUCCCAACCUGCCGGUUCCCGAGCUCCCAGAAAAUUUGAAAAGAUCUGGGGAAGGCUCUGAGGGGCCUGGCUCGGGACCACGUGUGUCAUCGAUUUCCCUGCCGGGGUGUGCGUGAGCCUCUCCAGCUCUGCGCCGGCUUCCCUGUCUUGCCUCCAAGUGUUCUGUGGCUCCUGGCUGGUGCCUUGGAACUCCAGGGGCCUCCCUCUGGGCUCUUCUGCCCUCUCUCCUGCAGACUUCUUCCAGGGCAAACACUUCUUCCUGUACGGGGAGUUCCCUGGGGAGGAGCGGCGGAAGCUCAGCCGAUAUGUCACGGCCUUCAGUGGUGAGCUUGAGGACUAUAUGAGCGACCGGGUCCAGUUUGUGAUCACAGCACAAGAGUGGGACCCCAGCUUUGAGGAGGCCUUGAUGGACAACCCCUCCCUGGUGUUUGUCCGCCCACGAUGGAUCUACAGUUGCAACGAGCAGCAGAAGUUACUUCCCCA